rnacentral:rRNA from 1 species
UACGUAGGGGGCGAGCGUUGUCCGGAGUUACUGGGCGUAAAGCGCACGCAGGCGGUCUGCUAAGUUUGGAGUGACAGUUGGUGGCUUAACUGCCAAAGUGCUUCGAAAACUGACAGACUUGAGGGCUUCAGAGGGACACGGAAUUCCGGGUGGAGUGGUGAAAUGCGUAGAGAUCCGGAGGAACACCAAAGGCGAAGGCAGUGUCCGGGGGAGUACCUGACGCUCAGGUGCGAAAGCCAGGGGAGCGAACGGG